rnacentral:rRNA from 1 species
CCUACGGGCGGCAGCAGUGGGGAAUAUUGCACAAUGGGGGAAACCCUGAUGCAGCGACGCCGCGUGAGUGAAGAAGUAUUUCGGUAUGUAAAGCUCUAUCAGCAGGGAAGAAAAUGACGGUACCUGAUUAAGAAGCCCCGGCUACCUACGUGCCAGCAGCCGCGGUAAUACGUAGGGGGCAAGCGUUAUCCGGAUUUACUGGGUGGAAAGGGAGCGUAGACGGCAGCACAAGUCUGGAGUGAAAUGCCGGGGCUUAACCCCGGAACUGCUUUGGAAACUGUGCAGCUAGAGUGCAGGAGAGGUAAGUGGCCUUCCUAGUGUAGCGGUGAAAUGCGUAGAUAUUAGGAGGAACACCAGUGGCGCAGGCGGCUUACUGGACUGUAACUGACGUUGAGGCUCGAACGCGUGGGGAGCAAACAGGAUUAGAUACCCUUGUAGUC